rnacentral:rRNA from 1 species
AUGAACGCUAGCUACAGGCUUAACACAUGCAAGUCGAGGGGCAGCAUGGUCUUAGCUUGCUAAGGCCGAUGGCGACCGGCGCACGGGUGAGUAACACGUAUCCAACCUGCCGUCUACUCUUGGACAGCCUUCUGAAAGGAAGAUUAAUACAAGAUGGCAUCAUGAGUCCGCAUGUUCACAUGAUUAAAGGUAUUCCGGUAGACGAUGGGGAUGCGUUCCAUUAGAUAGUAGGCGGGGUAACGGCCCACCUAGUCUUCGAUGGAUAGGGGUUCUGAGAGGAAGGUCCCCCACAUUGGAACUGAGACACGGUCCAAACUCCUACGGGAGGCAGCAGUGAGGAAUAUUGGUCAAUGGGCGAGAGCCUGAACCAGCCAAGUAGCGUGAAGGAUGACUGCCCUAUGGGUUGUAAACUUCUUUUAUAAAGGAAUAAAGUCGGGUAUGGAUACCCGUUUGCAUGUACUUUAUGAAUAAGGAUCGGCUAACUCCGUGCCAGCAGCCGCGGUAAUACGGAGGAUUCGAGCGUUAUCCGGAUUUAUUGGGUUUAAAGGGAGCGUAGAUGGAUGUUUAAGUCAGUUGUGAAAGUUUGCGGCUCAACCGUAAAAUUGCAGUUGAUACUGGAUAUCUUGAGUGCAGUUGAGGCAGGCGGAAUUCGUGGUGUAGCGGUGAAAUGCUUAGAUAACACGAAGAACUCCGAUUGCGAAGGCAGCCUGCUAAGCUGCAACUGACAUUGAGGCUCGAAAGUGUGGGUAUCAAACAGGAUUAGAUACCCUGGUAGUCCACACGGUAAACGAUGAAUACUCGCUGUUUGCGAUAUACGGCAAGCGGCCAAGCGAAAGCGUUAAGUAUUCCACCUGGGGAGUACGCCGGCAACGGUGAAACUCAAAGGAAUUGACGGGGGCCCGCACAAGCGGAGGAACAUGUGGUUUAAUUCGAUGAUACGCGAGGAACCUUACCCGGGCUUAAAUUGCAGAUGAAUUACGGUGAAAGCCGUAAGCCGCAAGGCAUCUGUGAAGGUGCUGCAUGGUUGUCGUCAGCUCGUGCCGUGAGGUGUCGGCUUAAGUGCCAUAACGAGCGCAACCCUUGUUGUCAGUUACUAACAGGUUCCGCUGAGGACUCUGACAAGACUGCCAUCGUAAGAUGUGAGGAAGGUGGGGAUGACGUCAAAUCAGCACGGCCCUUACGUCCGGGGCUACACACGUGUUACAAUGGGGGGUACAGAGGGCCGCUACCACGCGAGUGGAUGCCAAUCCCCAAAACCUCUCUCAGUUCGGACUGGAGUCUGCAACCCGACUCCACGAAGCUGGAUUCGCUAGUAAUCGCGCAUCAGCCACGGCGCGGUGAAUACGUUCCCGGGCCUUGUACACACCGCCCGUCAAGCCAUGGGAGCCGGGGGUACCUGAAGUGCGUAACCGCGAGGAGCGCCCUAGGGUAAAACUGGUGACUGGGGCU